GAUGCAUAUUUCAAAAUUUUGUAUUUUUCAAUAAAGUAAUGUCACAUCACUAUACCUUUCUAUUGCAUCCUAUUGCACGUUUCCUCACUUUUCAUUUCAUUUGAAAAUGCAUCUUAUCUCUCCUAUCACAUAUCUCUUUCUAUCUCCUUCAACCUUCAUCUCCUUCUCCCCCAACCUACUUCAAACCCAUUCUACUAACCUUCAUCUCCUUCAUCUCUCAAGCCUAUUACCAAACUUCUCAUGGUGAACGAUUUAGUGGUUGAUUCUCAUGACUGCGGAACGAAAAUGAUUUCAGAUUUAAGGUUUGGUUCAAGUAAGUAUAUUUUAAUUUUCUUUAUGUUUUACUUUUCAAUCUUUCUUCUUCUUAUGAUUCUUUGUUUGUUAAUGGAUUUUGUGGGUCUCCUAUAUAGAUUUUUUACGAUCUGAAAAUUAGAAAAGAACAAGGAUCUGAUAAAAUUUCAGUAAUGAGUAAAGGAUGAGAAGAAUAGAUUUUAGAUGACAAUUUUCUUGCUGCGAGGAGAAAAUAAAGUAUCUCAGGUUUAAGGUUUAGUAGAUCUCCAGUGUAAAUUUUUUCAGAUCUGGAGAUUAAAGAGGAACACCAACAAUUUUAUCUUUAUCAGAUGCUUAGGGGCCGGUAUUUAUGUAUACUGGUGUUAACUCUCUCACUUUUGGCCUUCAUGUGCAUUUACGCUUAUGUCAUAUUUCACAACUUCAUCCAUAUGUUACAAAUUCUACCAUGGGGACUCAUACAUGUCAUAGUUUCUAAAGAUUGAGUUUACUUUCUUACCCAAAAUAAAUUUCAAGCUGGAGAAAUACUUAGGUUUACUUUUCAUAAAAUUUCAUGAAUGAGAAUAAUUGGUGUUGUAAAAAUUAUAUUUUAAUAAUUAUAUAUUAACCUACAAGAUUAUAUUAACUUAAAAUUAAUUGAUUUUUAUUACUAUUAUUAUUUGUAAUCAUUUUAUAACAACUAUUGAAAAAUAUCAUUAUAAAAUUAAAGAAAAAAAAGAAAAGAAGUAAAUAGAAAUUUAUGGAGUAUUUAUUAUUGAUUAAGAUGAGGGUAGAAAAAUAAAUGAGAGUUUGAAAAUAAAGUACCAAUAGAGAAAGCAUAGAGGUGCAAAAAUGUUGUCCUUUAUGUUGAAUAACGAUAUGAUAAUUAAUUGAUAGAAAUUAAUGUUGUGUUAAAUAAAAUUUAAGAUUUAAUAAUAAUAAUAAUAAUAAAACUAAAAGGAGUGUCAUAUUAAACCGAAAAAUUCUCAACUUAAUAAUUGAUACAAUUAAAUUGAAUUAAAUACCCUAAUAUUGUGUGGUAUAGAGAUAUGGAAAACAUCAUGAAUCAUAAAUAUUAUUUAAUUAAAGUCAUAUUAAACCGAAAAUUCUCAACAUAAUGAAGAUUCGUUCAAAUAUUAUAAGAAAACAUCUUUUUCCUGUAUGUUUAUAAAUGAUAUAUCUAUAGGAAAUAAAAAGUUAUUAAAUAAUGAAUAAAUAUAUUUUUAAUUAUCUUAAGAAUAUUAAAUAUG